GGCUGUGAGUCGGUGUGGCUAAUUGUCUAUACAUAGUGGCUGUGAGUCGGUCUGGCUAAUAGUCUAUACAUAGUGGCUGUGAGUCGGUGUGGCUAAUUGUCUAUACAUAGUGGCUGUGAGUGUGUGAGAGAUAAGAACACAAUGAUUAGUCCUAAAUGUCCUGAGACAUCACACUGAGACAACAGAACAGAGAAGGUCAGAACAGUACAGAACAGAGCAGAACAGAACAGAACAGAGCAGAGCAGGUCACAACAGAAAAGAACAGAGCAGAACAGAACAGAGCAGAGCAGGUCACAACAGAAAAGAACAGAGCAGAGCAGAACAGAGCAGAUCAGAACAGAGCAGUGCAGAACAGGUCAGAACAGAACAGAAAAGAACAGAGCAGGUCAGAACAGAAAGGAACAGAGCAGGUCAGAACAGAACAGAACAGAACAGAACAGGUCAGAACAGAACAGAGCAGAGCAGAGCAAAGCAGAACAAGUCAGAACAGAGCAAAGCAGAACAGAACAGAACAGAGCAGAACAGAACAGAACAGGUCAGAACAGAGCAGAGCAGAACAGGUCAGAACAGAACAGAGCAGAACAGAACAGAGCAGAGCAGGUCAGAACAGACCAGAGCAGGUCAGAACAGUGCAGAGCAGUGCAGAGCACAACAGAGCACAACAGAGCAGGUCAGAACAGUGCAGAGCAGAACAGAGCAGAACAGGUCAGAACAGAGCACAACAGAACAGAGCACAACAGUGCAGAACAGAGACCUUAAUAACUACAGGCUUAUCUCUGACACACAACACCUAAGCUACACUCAUACACAGUCUGACUGUGACACAGGAUUUUAUCAGCGAAACUAAUUCAAAUAUGUCAAUCUCUUACAGAUCCUAAAGUAAACACAGGUAACCUCCAUUUGCACUGUGGUUUCCUUGUUCAUAUGUCUAAGUUCAUGUCAACAUCUCUCAACGUCUAGAUUCCAAACGGUGCCAGUCGGCCCUGAGUGUCAAACAGACCAGGGGACGAGGCCCCGCCGGCUGUCUGAGGAACGGACCAGGGGACGAGGCCCCGCCGGCUGUCUGAGGAACGGACCAGGGGACGAGGCCCCGCCGGCUGUCUGAGGAACGGACCAGGGGACGAGGCCCCGCCGGCUGUCUGAG
rnacentral:lncRNA from 1 species